UGCAAAGGUUUUAAGUGGGUGUGAAGAAAUGCUGUAAAUUUAAGAAUGAUUUCAAUAUUUGGUGUGACUAUUUCUCUGAUUGGCCCCAAAUUUGAGAAGAGAAGAGAAGAGAAGAGAAGAGAAGAAGAGAAGAGAAGAAGAGAAGAGAGGAGCCCAACAUCAUCUAGUCUGUCUGGAAUUACAUGAAGACACAGAAGGAUUUGAUCCAGCCUACAUCUAGUACUCCAAGAUGUCUGGAAGAACCUACCUUCCGAGUAUCUUCAAAAAGUGUGUGCAAAUGGACUUAGAAUAGUUGCUGUAAAAAUAGUUGAUGCAAUCAAAAGGUUUUUCUGGUUUUUUUUGCAUGGGGUUGCAACUUUUUGUUGAGGGCAAGGAAGCACCUUCUGAUUUUCUUUUAACCCCUGUUAAAUAAAAUUCUAUGAUUUGUAAUUAAACUAUUAGCAUGCAUGAAA